UCCAUAGUGUAGUGGUUAGCACAUCUGCUUUGCAUGUAGAUGGUCCUGGAUUUGAACCCCAGGUGGA
rnacentral:tRNA from 1 species